AAUAGAUACCCUGGUAGUCCAUGCCGUAAACGUUGGGCACUAGGUGUGGGGACCAUUCCACGGUCUCCGUGCCGCAGCUAACGCAUUAAGUGCCCCGCCUGGGGAGUACGGCCGCAAGGCUAAAACUCAAAGGAAUUGACGGGGGCCCGCACAAGCGGCGGAGCAUGCGGAUUAAUUCGAUGCAACGCGAAGAACCUUACCAAGGCUUGACAUGCACCGGAAACACUCAGAGAUGGGUGCCCCGCAAGGUCGGUGCACAGGUGGUGCAUGGUUGUCGUCAGCUCGUGUCGUGAGAUGUUGGGUUAAGUCCCGCAACGAGCGCAACCCUGUCCCAUGUUGCCAGCGGGUUAUGCCGGGGACUCAUGGGAGACUGCCGGGGUCAACUCGGAGGAAGGUGGGGAUGACGUCAAAUCAUCAUGCCCCUUAUGUCUUGGGCUUCACGCAUGCUACAAUGGCCGGUACAGAGGGCUGCGAUACCGUAAGGUGGAGCGAAUCCCAAAAAGCCGGUCUCAGUUCGGAUUGGGGU
rnacentral:rRNA from 1 species